UGGGCUUAAGGGAUUCUCCUGCCUCAAUCACAGCCUCCCAAGUAGCUGAGAUUAAAAGUGCUCACCACCGUGCCAGCGAGUUCAGUUUUUGAGAUCUGUCCCAUUCCACCAAGGAUUUAAGGCUAAAGAUUUAAGUUGUGAAGAUGAUAAUGGAUUGACUCUAUGAAUGGCCACAUUUUUUUAUGCCUCCCUUUUCCCUUGUCCUCGGGCAGUGUCCUCCGACACUGACUCUGUGCUUGGCCCUGUGACUUGCUUUGGCCAAUGGUACAGCAGCAAACUUGAUGCAAACACAACUUGAAAAAGAAGAGGACAGCCAAGUCAUCCCAGCCAAGGCCACCCUGGACCAGCCAGCCUCUUGCCAAGCUGCCAGUGACCACAGAGUCCAAUUAACAACAGCCAGUCCUGGCCCAGGGUGGAGCCAAGACUCUGAGGAGAGGGCUGAACUGUGAACCUAGAAGUACCAUCUCCCCCUGCACACACCUUUGGUCAAGUUGACCCCAAGAAGAAGGACAAGUCCUCUGCACGGCGAUGAGGCCAUACACACAGUCUGUGGCCCGGCUUUGGGAGACUGAUGGGACAAAGGAUGUUUUGCACGAUCCUUGGUCUCUGAGCAAAUAUAUACAUGGGUUAACA
rnacentral:lncRNA from 1 species